rnacentral:rRNA from 1 species
AAUAGAUACCCGGGUAGUCCACGCCGUAAACGGUGGGUACUAGGUGUGGGUUUCCUUCCUUGGGAUCCGUGCCGUAGCUAACGCAUUAAGUACCCCGCCUGGGGAGUACGGCCGCAAGGCUAAAACGUCAAAGGAAUUGACGGGGGGCCCGCACAAGCGGCGGAGCAUGUGGAUUAAUUCGAUGCAACGCGAAGAACCUUACCUGGGUUUGACAUGCACAGGACGCACCUAGAGAUAGGUGUUCCCUUGUGGCCUGUGUGCAGGUGGUGCAUGGCUGUCGUCAGCUCGUGUCGUGAGAUGUUGGGUUAAGUCCCGCAACGAGCGCAACCCUUGUCCUAUGUUGCCAGCGGGUUAUGCCGGGGACUCGUAGGAGACUGCCGGGGUCAACUCGGAGGAAGGUGGGGAUGACGUCAAGGUCAUCAUGCCCCUUAUGUCCAGGGCUUCACACAUGCUACAAUGGCCGGUACAAAGGGCUGCGAUGCCGUGAGGUGGAGCGAAUCCUUGUAAAGCCGGUCUCAGUUCGGAUCGGGGUCUGCAACGUCGACCCCGGU